rnacentral:rRNA from 1 species
GAUGAACGCUGGCGGCGUGCAUAAUACAUGCAAGUCGAGCGAACAGAUGAGGAGCUUGCUCCUCUGACGUUAGCGGCGGACGGGUGAGUAACACGUGGAUAACCUACCUAUAAGACUGGGAUAACUUCGGGAAACCGGAGCUAAUACCGGAUAAUAUAUUGAACCGCAUGGUUCAAUAGUGAAAGACGGUUUUGCUGUCACUUAUAGAUGGAUCCGCGCCGCAUUAGCUAGUUGGUAAGGUAACGGCUUACCAAGGCAACGAUGCGUAGCCGACCUGAGAGGGUGAUCGGCCACACUGGAACUGAGACACGGUCCAGACUCCUACGGGAGGCAGCAGUAGGGAAUCUUCCGCAAUGGGCGAAAGCCUGACGGAGCAACGCCGCGUGAGUGAUGAAGGUCUUCGGAUCGUAAAACUCUGUUAUUAGGGAAGAACAAAUGUGUAAGUAACUAUGCACGUCUUGACGGUACCUAAUCAGAAAGCCACGGCUAACUACGUG